rnacentral:rRNA from 1 species
GACGAACGCUGGCGGCGUGCUUAACACAUGCAAGUCGAACGGUGAAGCGCCUUCCUUUUUGGUGGGUGUGGAUGAGUGGCGAACGGGUGAGUAACACGUGAGUAACCUGCCCCCUUCUUCUGGAUAACCGCAUGAAAGUGUGGCUAAUACGGGAUAUUCUGGGUCUGUCGCAUGAUGGGUCUGGGAAAGAUAUUGUUUCGGUGGGGGAUGGGCUCGCGGCCUAUCAGCUUGUUGGUGGGGUGAUGGCCUACCAAGGCGGUGACGGGUAGCCGGCCUGAGAGGGUGGACGGUCACACUGGGACGGAGACACGGCGCAGACUCCUACGGGAGGCAGCAGGGGGGAAUAUUGCACAAUGGGCGCAAGCCUGAUGCAGCGACGCCGCGGGAGGGAUGGAGGCCUUCGGGUUGUGAACCUCUUUCGCCAGUGAAGCAGGCCUGCCUCGUUUGUGGGUGGGUUGACGGUAGCUGGAUAAGAAGCGCCGGCUAACUACGUG